rnacentral:rRNA from 1 species
AUCCUGGCUCAGGAUGAACGCUAGCGGGAGGCCUAACACAUGCAAGCCGAGCGGUAGAGAUCUUUCGGGAUCUUGAGAGCGGCGUACGGGUGCGGAACACGUGUGCAACCUGCCUUUAUCUGGGGGAUAGCCUUUCGAAAGGAAGAUUAAUACCCCAUAAUAUACUGGAUGGCAUCAUUCGGUAUUGAAAACUCCGGUGGAUAGAGAUGGGCACGCGCAAGAUUAGAUAGUUGGUGAGGUAACGGCUCACCAAGUCUGCGAUCUUUAGGGGGCCUGAGAGGGUGAUCCCCCACACUGGUACUGAGACACGGACCAGACUCCUACGGGAGGCAGCAGUGAGGAAUAUUGGACAAUGGGUGAGAGCCUGAUCCAGCCAUCCCGCGUGAAGGACGACGGCCCUAUGGGUUGUAAACUUCUUUUGUAUAGGGAUAAACCUACCCUCGUGAGGGUAGCUGAAGGUACUAUACGAAUAAGCACCGGCUAACUCCGUGCCAGCAGCCGCGGUAAUACGGAGGGUGCAAGCGUUAUCCGGAUUUAUUGGGUUUAAAGGGUCCGUAGGCGGAUCUGUAAGUCAGUGGUGAAAUCUCACAGCUUAACUGUGAAACUGCCAUUGAUACUGCAGGUCUUGAGUGUUGUUGAAGUAGCUGGAAUAAGUAGUGUAGCGGUGAAAUGCAUAGAUAUUACUUAGAACACCAAUUGCGAAGGCAGGUUACUAAGCAACAACUGACGCUGAUGGACGAAAGCGUGGGGAGCGAACAGGAUUAGAUACCCUGGUAGUCCACGCCGUAAACGAUGCUAACUCGUUUUUGGAAUGUAAGUUUCAGAGACUAAGCGAAAGUGAUAAGUUAGCCACCUGGGGAGUACGAACGCAAGUUUGAAACUCAAAGGAAUUGACGGGGGCCCGCACAAGCGGUGGAUUAUGUGGUUUAAUUCGAUGAUACGCGAGGAACCUUACCAAGGCUUAAAUGGGAAAUGACAAGUUUAGAAAUAGACUUUUCUUCGGACAUUUUUCAAGGUGCUGCAUGGUUGUCGUCAGCUCGUGCCGUGAGGUGUUAGGUUAAGUCCUGCAACGAGCGCAACCCCUGUCACUAGUUGCCAUCAUUCAGUUGGGGACUCUAGUGAGACUGCCUACGCAAGUAGAGAGGAAGGUGGGGAUGACGUCAAAUCAUCACGGCCCUUACGCCUUGGGCCACACACGUAAUACAAUGGCCGGUACAGAGGGCAGCUACACUGCGAAGUGAUGCAAAUCUCGAAAGCCGGUCUCAGUUCGGAUUGGAGUCUGCAACUCGACUCUAUGAACGCCGGCAAUCUGCU